rnacentral:rRNA from 1 species
GAUGAACGCUGGCGGCGUGCCUAAUACAUGCAAGUCGAGCGAACAGACGCUGCUCUUGCUCCUCUCACGUUAGCGGCGGACGUGUGAGUAACACGUGUAUCACCUCCCUAUCAUACUGGUAUCACUUCGGGAAACCGGCUCUAAUACCGUAUAAUAUCUUGCACCGCAUUGUUCAUUAGUGAAAUACGGUGUUUCUGUCUCUUCUCGAUGCAUCCGCGCCGUAUUAGCUAGUUGUUAAGUUAACGGCUUACCAAGGCAACGAUGCGUAGCCGACGUGAGAGGGUGAUAGGCCACACGGGAAGUGAGACGCGGUCAAGAGUACUAAGGGAGGCAGCAGUAGGGAAUCGGACGCAAUGGGCGAAAGUAUGACGGAGCAACGCGGAGUGAGAGAUGAAGAUGUUGGGAUCGUAAUAAUCUGUUUUUAGGGAAGAACAAAUGUGUAAGGAAAUAUGCACGGAGUGACGGUAACGAAUAAGAAAGCAACGGCUAACUACGUG